UACGUAGGGUGCAAGCGUUGUCCGGAAUUUAUUGGGCGUAAAGAGCUCGUAGGCGGUUUGUCGCGUCUGCCGUGAAAGUCCGGGGCUCAACUCCGGAUCUGCGGUGGGUACGGGCAGACUAGAGUGUGGUAGGGGGAGACUGGAAUUCCUGGUGUAGCGGUGAAAUGCGCAGAUAUCAGGAGGAACACCGAUGGCGAAGGCAGGUCUCUGGGCCACUACUGACGUGAGGCGCGAAAGCUAGGGGAGCAAACAGG
rnacentral:rRNA from 1 species